CCUCAGGUCCUCAAUCUAAUUACCGUCAGUGCAACAGCUGCUGCCUCUGCGCUGCCGAAAUCUGUGUCUGUUCAUUCCAGCGAGUUCCCUCUCAUUUCCAGGCUCAGCUGAGAGCCCUCAAGACCAGAAUCAGAAUCUCCACUCCCUUCCCACCCCUCUACGUUUACCAGUACAAACUAGAUUUAAAAAAACCCUGC
rnacentral:lncRNA from 12 species